rnacentral:lncRNA from 1 species
CCCCCUCCCAACGACGUCAACAUCAGGCAAGUCAGAUGGCAAGAAAGGUUCAGCAGACAGCGAUAUUAGUGCAGCGCGCGGACGAGAUGGCUAAAAAAGGCUGACGGUUGGCAGGAUCAUAAUUGCACCGUACCUAGGCCAGUGUACCUGCGAGAAUUUUGAAGCGUCCCCUCGUACCGCUCCAAUUCGAAAAGACUCCGGCACGCGCACAUUUAAUGCCAAAAUAUUUGGAGGCGGCAGUGCGCAGGAUUCGAAGGGACGGUUUCGGCUGUGCCCAUCUCUCUCUCUGUACUUCCUUCGUUUGAAAUUCAAACUCGAAAGUAGGGGGACUGGUGUUGGGUAUAAAAUACCCACAGCCGAAGUCCUCAGUGGAAUCGAC